GGGCGGGUAGUGAUCUGUACGUCUAUUAUAGACCUAGGUGAUAGGUAUUCUUUAGUGAGGGGCUUGAGCGAUAUUAGUUAGUUGGGAGGCUAAUGGCCUACCACGACCAUCUAUGUGUAGCUUGACUGAGAGGUUGAACAGCCACGUUGGCAAUGAGAAACAGACACCCCUCCUACCGGAGGCAUCAAUAAGGAAUUUUCGGUGUUGGAGGAAACUCUGACCGAGCAACGCCACCCGAACGACUAAGUACUUUGCUAUGUAAAGUUCUUUUAUCAAGGAAGAAAAGCAAGUGGUGAACCAUUUGUUUGCCAGUACUUGAUGAAUAGGCCCCGGCUAAUUAUGUGCCAACAACCGCAGUAAGACAUAACGUGCAAGUGUUAUCCAGAAUUAUUGGGCGUAAAGGGUGCGUAAGCGGUCUAAUAUGUCGGUGGUGUAAUGGCAACUCUCGACGUUGUCCGGCUAUUGAAACUGCUAAACUUGAGUUAGAUUGAGGCGAGUGUAAUUCCGUGUGUAGCGACUACAUGCGUAAAUAUGUGGAAGAGCAUCGAAGACGUAGGCGGCUCGCUGGGUCUUAACUGACGCUGAAGCACCAAAGCGUGGGGAGCGAACAGGAUUAGAUACCCUGGUAGUCCGCACCGUACACGAUGAGUACUAACUGUCGGGUUAAACCGGUACUGAACUUAACACAUUAAGUACUCCGCCUGAGUAGUACGUACGCAAGUUGAACACUUAAAGGAAUUGAUCGGGACUCCGCACAACGGCGGGCUCUCAAUUUGUGUAAAUUUGAAAAAUACCCCGAAAAACCUUACCAAGGUCCUUGACUUGUUUUUUGCGAAACAGUAAGUAAUAUCGUUGGAGGUUAUCAGAAACACAGGUGGUGCAUGGGUUGUCGUCAGCUCGUGUCGUGAGAUGUUAGGUUAAAUCCUAAAACGACCGAAACCCUUAUCGUUAGUUGCCCCCACGUUAUGGUGGGGGCUUUUACGAGACUGCCAGUGGUAAA
rnacentral:sRNA from 1 species